rnacentral:rRNA from 1 species
AGCGAACGCUGGCGGCAGGCUUAACACAUGCAAGUCGAACGCCCCGCAAGGGGAGUGGCAGACGGGUGAGUAACACGUGGGAACGUACCCUUUGGUUCGGAAUAACUUGGGGAAACUCAAGCUAAUACCGGAUAAGUCCUUAUGGGGAAAGGUUUACUGCCGAAGGAUCGGCCCGAGUCUGAUUAGCUAGUUGGUGAGGUAAUGGCUCACCAAGGGGACGAUCAGUAGCUGGUAUGAGAGGAUGAUCAGCCACACUGGGACUGGGACACGGCCCAGACUCCUACGGGAGGCAGCAGUGGGGAAUAUUGGACAAUGGGGGCAACCCUGAUCCAGCCAUGCCGCGUGAGUGGUGAAGGCCUUAGGGUUGUAAAGCUCUUUUACCCGGGACGAUAAUGACUGUACCGGGAGAAUAAGCCCCGGCAAACUUCGUGCCAGCAGCCGCAGUAA